AGGCAGUAAAUUGUGCGGCGGGGUCUGGAUGGAAAGGCGGGGCCCGCUGAAAGAAGGCGAUCCGAGUUCUGCUACUUCCUAGUAAGGGACGUCUCUGGAGAGAUUCUGAGGUGUUUGAGGUCAGUGGUUUUCAAUCUUGGUUGGCUACACAUAGGAAUCACUUGAGGGGCUUGAGAAAAAUACCGACACCUGAGUCCCACCCCCGAGAAAUUCUGAUGAAAUGGGUCCAGGGUGCAGCCUGAGUGGUGGAACUGGGACCGGGGCCUAGGCGUGGACAAGUAUAGGGGUAUUUCUGACCCUUCUCCUCAUUUCACCUCUUCUUUCUCCCACGGGUUCCUUUCUGGAAGCCUCUUUUGCCUACACACCGGCAGUGUCCUUCCCGCACUCAGAGGGCCUCUCUGGAGCCAGUUCCAGGCCACCCAUGGGCCUUGGCCCCGCCCCCUACUCAUGGCUGGCAGAUUCGUGGCCCCACCCAUCUCGAAGCCCCUCGGCCCAGGAACCCAGGGGAAGCUGCUGCCCUAGCAAUCCUGACCCGGACGACAGAUAUUACAACGGUGAGGAGUUCUCAUUCC
rnacentral:lncRNA from 10 species